UACGUAGGGGGCGAGCGUUGUCCGGAUUUAUUGGGCGUAAAGAGCGUGUAGGCGGCUUGGUAGGUCUCGCGUCAAAACCUGCGGCUCAACCGCAGUUCGCGUGGGAAACCACCUAGCUAGAGUCCGGAAGUGGAGAACGGAAUUCCCAGUGUAGCGGUGAAAUGCGCAGAUAUUGGGAAGAACACCAGUGGCGAAGGCGGUUCUCUGGGACGGUACUGACGCUGAGACGCGAAAGCGUGGGGAGCGAACAGG
rnacentral:rRNA from 1 species